GGACAGCAAACCGCCGCGCGUGUAGAGGUGGGUGCGUGUGACGAAAAAUGAUGGAUGAAAAACGCGAGGAGCUGGGUCUGAAGUCUUUCGUUGGUCACACACACAUGCAUCUACCAGCGGAUUGCGCUACACCGAGUCUACCCAUCUCUCUCGAUCUACCAUGAUUUUUUCUGCUAUCGCACUCAUCCGGGUUUUAGGCAUCCUCAGUCUGCCCAGAACUUUCGUUGUGGAAAGAUGUGCGGGAGUGAUGUGCGAUUUCUUGUGGUCCCUACUUUCCUUGUUUACGUUUUGCGCAGUGUUGCUUCUUCUUCCAUUGUGGAAUGAUUUAUCCUAGCUAACUUGUUGAGUUACAGGUGCAUGCGCCAUUCAUCAACGCCUACGUGUUGGCAUCAUCAACAAUCUUUAAAGUGGGUGACGAAAAGAAAUUGUUUUCCAGUUUUAAAAUAUUAAGCGUUCAGCACAACUCAGCCACAAAACAACGCACUGGAUUACGCUAAGAACCUGUCGAAACGCGCGCAGCCCCCGGGAGCGGUAGGAGAAAGGAAGAACGAGAGGAGGAAAAACUAAAGCCAGCGCGCAGCUCUGAUGGUACCCCGGACGCGGUAAGAAGAAAAAAGAUCGAGAGGAGGAAGAAGGGUAAAUUUGGAAGGGGGAGACCGUUCUGCCGUCUCCACAGUGUGAGUAUGCCAAAACACGUGUUGGAAGGGAGAGAAAAAGUGUGGAAUAAACCGCAUGCGAAUGCGUGCAUACAGCAAAAGUAAACAUGUGUGCCUCAUCAUUUCUAUAAGCAAUCCGAAAAAGGGGUGGAGCAAACACAUUGGUAUGCGUGAGAUGCAGAAGAAAUCGGAGUUUUAUAGUAUGUGUGAACGCGAUCGUUCGGGUGGAAGGUGUCUAUGUGUGCGUGAAACCACAUUUACACUUCUUCUGCAAGUGGGUACGUAAGUGGGGCCAUAUGUGUACGACACGAUCCCAUACAAAACUUCGGCUUUUGCGGACUGGGUCACAACACUGCCUUUGUCGCUCGGCGAAUUAAUUUACGUUUCACUCAGAAUAUCCAAGAACAUUUAACAGUUUUAGGACUAAUAUAGUGAAAAACAAUUGCUGAACGAUUUAACGUUGCGCCAAAACUAGUUAAAUUUGUUUUGCUCUUCGAAAAAUCGUUCAACUAAAUCCUAUUGUUUAGAACAUUAAAAGUUUCGAGGAGUGUUGGUUUUUGUUUCUUUUUGUUCUUCUUUUUUAGGUAUAAUUAAAAAUGUUCCCGAAAAAAUUAAAGCAAAGUGGAUUGCUUUAUAAGAAAGCCGCAAAGCUGGAAGAACAGCUUGAGAAAGAGUGGGCACUGCAGAAUGAUCACGCCGGAACGAGCAACCAGUAACCGGUUGUGCAAUCUGCUGAAGGUAACUACUAAAAAUAUGUUGCUAUGAGUGACCCCUAUGAAGAGCCUAUGGCGUCUAUGGAAGAGGUGUAUUUGAACGAAAACGGUGACGAUGAUGACCGUAUCAGCGAUGAAGGAUCCAUCCACAACGAAGAUACCGACGGCGAAGAGUAUUUGGAGGAAGAGUAUUUGGAGGGAGAAUUUUUGGAGGAGGCGAGUCUGGAAAUUGAUCCAGAAAGCGCGAAGCUACGAGACUCUUUGCGAACUUGGUUGAUUCGCAAUAAAGUUGCUCGUAGCGGAAGCAAUAGUUUACUUGCAAUACUGCGAAAAGCGUCUUCUCUUUUUGCUUUUUCAUCUCUUCCGCAGGAUGUUAGGACAUUACUGAAAGCUCCGGUGAACGUCAGCCAGCAGAUAACUUAGGUUCCAGGUGGAGGUGAAAUGUGGUACCAAGGCGUUGAAUGUUGUUUUCAGCAUUAUUUCCGUGGCGUGGACGUAUCAGAAGAUGAAUUUGAGCUGAAUCUUUCAGUGGAUGGAAUACCCAUUUAUGAUCGCAGCGCUAUACAGAUGUGGCCUAUACUGAUGCAGUUACACAAUAUGCCGAAUGUUCCUGUUGUGGUGGUAGGGAUAUUUUGCGGCACUUCAAAACCAUCCGAUGUUGAGCCUUUCCUGAGACCUUUAGUGGAGGAACUUAAUAGGCUACAUGAUAACAAAAUGACUCUGAAUGGCAAAAAAAUAUCUGUUUCGGUUAGAGUUAUUAUCGCUGACUCGCCUGCACGUGCAUUUAUUAAACAACUUCUAUGUCAAUCACAGCAUCAUUGUUUCCAAUGAUGUGGAUGACAUAGUUCGCAAACAAACUUAGGAUAUAGCUGCGUUUACAGUAUCGGACAUAAAGAUAGAACCCU